rnacentral:rRNA from 1 species
AUUGAACGCUGGCGGCAUGCCUUACACAUGCAAGUCGAACGGUAACAGGUCUUCGGAUGCUGACGAGUGGCGAACGGGUGAGUAAUACAUCGGAACGUGCCUAGUAGUGGGGGAUAACUACUCGAAAGAGUGGCUAAUACCGCAUGAGAUCUACGGAUGAAAGCAGGGGAUCGCAAGACCUUGUGCUACUAGAGCGGCUGAUGGCAGAUUAGGUAGUUGGUGGGGUAAAGGCUUACCAAGCCUGCGAUCUGUAGCGGGUCUGAGAGGACGACCAGCCACACUGGGACUGAGACACGGCCCAGACUCCUACGGGAGGCAGCAGUGGGGAAUUUUGGACAAUGGGCGAAAGCCUGAUCCAGCAAUGCCGCGUGCAGGAUGAAGGCCCUCGGGUUGUAAACUGCUUUUGUACGGAACGAAAAGCCUGGGGCUAAUAUCCCCGGGUCAUGACGGUACCGUAAGAAUAAGCACCGGCUAACUACGUGCCAGCCGCCGCGGUAAAAC